UACGUAGGGUGCAAGCGUUAAUCGGAAUUACUGGGCGUAAAGCGUGCGCAGGCGGUUUUGUAAGACUGACGUGAAAUCCCCGGGCUCAACCUGGGAAUGGCGUUGGUGACUGCAAGGCUAGAGUUUGGCAGAGGGGGGUAGAAUUCCACGUGUAGCAGUGAAAUGCGUAGAUAUGUGGAGGAACACCGAUGGCGAAGGCAGCCCCCUGGGUCAAAACUGACGCUCAUGCACGAAAGCGUGGGGAGCAAACAGG
rnacentral:rRNA from 1 species